AAUUAUUCAAUUUGGACAGCCCCUUUGUAUCAGUUCUCAAGAAAUGGAAGCAGAUAAAUUGUUUUUCAGUCCUGAAAUUUUAUUAGAGUUCAUUGAGUUCAUACAAAAACCUACCGUGCCUAUGUUAAUAAUUUCAUGACAGGACGAUGUAAACUGAGGCACCAAAGCGAAUUGGGGCGUCAUCACCGCGAAUGGGCGAAGGCGCCAAAAAACCGGCAUCUCAUAGGCCGGGAGUCUUCAAGAGUGGGGAGGACUUUAAGAACUACAAUAAACUAAAUAAUAAUUUGUAAAUUAAAAUACGUCCGACAGACCUACACAGUAAUAAUAGACAGGCCAAAAUGAUCAGUAAUGACCAAAAUACAAUGACUUUUUUCAGUUUAGUCCUUUCUAAUCAUUUAGUCAUGGUCUACCUACCCUUGUUUUGGCCAGGUGACUUUCAGCUUAUCAUUAGUUUCAAUGGUGUUAGUGUGAUCAAUGAUAAAACAGACCCAGCAUCGAAACACGCUCCAAAACUAUCAGGAGAUCAGAAACUGUCAUCAAAGAUCAGAAAUGACCAAAGUACAAUUAAGGUAGUAAUUCUCGGAUUUUGGAGAACCUGGCAUGUUCUAACAUGUGAUCAGCUUGACGCGGUUUGAGUACAUGUGAAACUUUUACUAGCUUGCGUCUCUAUCCUAUACCUCUUCAGACAACUCUGCUGGAGUUUACAACCUUAAUACCUGUAUUUUGAGACUGUAUCUUGCUGGAAUUGUCUUAAGAAAGGACAGGGUACAUCCCCGAAAUGCAUGAAUAAAAAUAUGGAAACAAAAAGUUUGGAUUACUUCAUUAGAAAACCAAAUAUGUACAAAUAAAUAAAAUAUAUAUAUUA